GAAAUGAAAACCACAUAAAAUUUAAAUCAAACACAGAAAUUGUUUGUGUAACAAAAAUGGACAUGUGCGUCAGAACCUAGCUGCCUAAGUGUUAGAGACACUGACUCCUUAUAACUGUACCUACUGUGAGACAUGGAGUAUAACAUUGCUAAACUCCAAUUUGCAGUUUUACAUACAAAGUAAAUGAAGAUAUAUCAGUAACGGGGUGCAACAAAAUACUCUCCAAAUCUUUAAUUAGUCAGGCAUAGUAAACCACAGGUCAUGACUACUUCAGAAUUCUUUGGAGAUUCAUAUAAACUAUUUAAUUUCAGCAGAAGCUAUCUAUUGACUUAUCAUAGGGAAUGCAGUUUGCUCAACUGAUGGGGAUUAGAAAUAUUCAAGUUCAUACUGACUUUAAUCAAGCUGCUAGAUACAUCAACAAAACCAGACAACCUACUUUCUUUUAUUGAGUAAAAAUUGGCCACACUAGCCCUUUACAAUCAUAGUUAGAAUCAAUACAUUCCUAGCUAGGACCUGCCAACCUACAUGAAAUACAGUCCCUACUAGGCAUCAUCUAGGCCAUUGCUACCAAGUUUGAAGAGUUUCAAUAUACAAUCAUCGAUACUUUGUUGUAAAAAAAUGCAGAAAAAUCCAUAGGUAAAAUGAAAAAGGCAAUGUUGAAAGGGUUUUACAAACCUUUGAAUUCAUGCCAUGUGUGCUUGAAAAUUGCUCUCUAGACAUGCUCAGAUCUGAUACUCAGAAGGAUCCUUGUUUCUCCAUGGCUUCAGUUAAAGAAGAACAUGCUGACUUGCACAUCAGAACACCUUUCCUAAUAUCAAAUGCUGCCCACUUAAUGGAAUCUGUGAAUUUGUAGCAAGGGAAAAAAAAUAUAAAUUGAAGAGAUAACCAGAAUCAAGGGUAUUAUUUCAUUACGUGACGUAAAGACAGUGAAACAAGCAAAAGAUAAUUUACGCGCUUUUGGUUGGCGACUUAAUUCAGACGAGGUACUUCAGCUAGAAUGUGCAGGACAUGAGUCUCCUGGAAAGAUGAACCAGA
rnacentral:lncRNA from 1 species